rnacentral:ncRNA from 2 species
UUAAUAGUGGGAAAACUAGGUUGAUUGAAUUAUUUCAAUCAUUAAAAGGGAAGUUCGGUGAAAAACCGACGCGGUCCCGCCACUGUAAAUGGGAGCUCUUUACAAAGAUUAUCCACUGUCUUACAAGAUGGGAAGGAGUUAAAGAGUGUUGAUCAUGAGCCAGGAGACCUGCCUAUUUUUUGCACCAUAA